rnacentral:rRNA from 1 species
AUUGAACGCUGGCGGCAUGCUUUACACAUGCAAGUCGAACGGUAACAGGGUGCUUGCACCGCUGCCGAGUGGCGAACGGGUGAGUAAUACAUCGGAAUGUACCCAGUAAUGGGGGAUAACGCUUGGAAAGGAGUGCUAAUACAGCAUACGCCCUGAGGGGGAAAGUGGGGGGUCGAAAGGCCUCACGUUAUUGGAGCAGCCGAGGGCUGAUUAGCUAGUUGGUGAGGGAAAGGCCUACCAAGGCGACGAUCUGUAGCGGGCCUGAGAGGAUGAGCCGCCACACUGGGACUGAGACACGGCCCAGACUCCUACGGGAGGCAGCAGUGGGGAAUAUUGGACAAUGGGGGGAACCCUGAUCCAGCCAUGCCGCGUGUGUGAAGAAGGCCUUUUGGUUGUAAAGCACUUUAAGCGAGGAGGAGGCUACCGAGAUUAAUACUCUUGGAUAGUGGACGUUACUCGCAGAAUAAGCACCGGCUAACUCUGUGCCAGCAGCCGCGGUAACAC